rnacentral:pre_miRNA from 1 species
UCUUAUGGAUAAGCAAAGAAAGUGGUUUCUUGGGAUGGAAACUAUUUCUGGUGAAGAUGCCAUGAA